UACGUAGGGUGCAAGCGUUGUCCGGAAUUAUUGGGCGUAAAGAGCUCGUAGGCGGUUUGUUGCGUCGGCUGUGAAAUCCCGAGGCUCAACCUCGGGUCUGCAGUCGAUACGGGCAAACUAGAGUGUUGCAGGGGAGACUGGAAUUCCUGGUGUAGCGGUGAAAUGCGCAUAUAUCAGGAGGAACACCGGUGGCGAAGGCGGGUCUCUGGGCAACAACUGACGCUGAGGAGCGAAAGCGUGGGGAGCGAACAGG
rnacentral:rRNA from 1 species